rnacentral:rRNA from 1 species
UGGGGAAUAUUGGACAAUGGGCGAAAGCCUGAUCCAGCCAUGCCGCGUGAGUGACGAAGGCCUUAGGGUUGUAAAACUCUUUCGUCGGGGACGAUAAUGACGGUACCCGAAGAAGAAGCUCCGGCUAACUUCGUGCCAGCAGCCGCGGUAAUACGAAGGGAGCUAGCGUUGUUCGGAAUCACUGGGCGUAAAGCGCACGUAGGCGGAUAGUUAAGUCAGGGGUGAAAUCCUGGGGCUCAACCCCAGAACUGCCUUUGAUACUGGCUGUCUCGAGGUCGAGAGAGGUUGGUGGAAUUCCUAGUGUAGAGGUGAAAUUCGUAGAUAUUAGGAAGAACACCAGUGGCGAAGGCGGCCAACUGGCUCGAUACUGACGCUGAGGUGCGAAAGCGUGGGGAGCAAACAGGAUUAGAUACCCCCGUAGUCCCUGAGCGGGCUGGCAAGGCGC